rnacentral:rRNA from 1 species
GGAAUUACUGGGCGUAAAGCGCACGUAGGCGGAUUGGAAAGUUGGGGGUGAAAUCCCGGGGCUCAACCCCGGAACUGCCUUCAAAACUCCCAGUCUGGAGGUCGAGAGAGGUGAGUGGAAUUCCGAGGGUAGAGGUGAAAUGCGUAGAGAUCCGGAGGAACACCAGUGGCGAAGGCGACACGCUGGGCCGUACCUGACACUGAUGCGCGACAGCAUGGGGAGCAAACAGG